UCUGGUAUAUACACGGACUCUGAGCAGUUCUAACUCACCGAGGUAUGAGACACGAGGAGGUCGCCUGCAGCUGAGACGGCGUGCGCUUGCACUGUGUCGCAUGAAAGACCACAACUGCAAAUGAAGGUAGUUAGGUGUGCAGUGAUGUGCAACAUGCUGUGGACAGAUGCCACCGAGGAUAAAGACCUUUUCUCUAUUACUGCCUGCCACUGUCACUGUCGACUGAACUCUUUUUGAUCCCAAUGAGAACACGCUUGGCCUCACCAGGACCGACGUCUCAUGCAGGAGCUUGGACACAGCAUGAUCGAUCAGUUGGAUCAAUCAAAAAUGAUCGUCUCCAGCUGCCAAUGAAACCCAGUAACUGCUGCGUCUCAUUCCUUCGUCUUUUCGUCUGACUGCAAAGAAAAUUCAAGUCUUCCUUUUUCCAACAUUUUAAGUUAACACAUCAGGAAAACUUAGCUCAACCAACAACGUUUUUGUUGCUGAUUUAUAACAAACCUGUUAACUUAAAAUCCGAUCAUUUUUAAGUAGUUUCUAUUUCGACUAACUUUUUAAGAUAAGUUAUCAACCUAACAACGUGUUCAUGCAGCAAACCGACAUUUUUAUGCUGAAAAUGUUUUUUCUUUUAACUAACUACUAACCCCCUAAAUCAUCUUUGACAAAAUUCAAAAUUAGACUCAAAUGAAAAUAGAAAAUGCUCACAUCCAUGUCCUGAAUAUAUUAUUACAUUUUUCCAAUUUUAUUCAAAUAAAAUUAUCUUAUUUUGUAUAUUUCUUCAAUGGUUGCUGUGCGAAAUUAUAAACAAGGCAGGUCCAGUUCGCUUGUAAAUUAAUGUUCUUUACAGAAGUAAGAAAAAGCAUUAAAAUGACAUCAAAGACAUCAAAAAUAAUAUUUUAAAAUCUAACUAUGAUGCAUUAAAAAAUCAAUAAAAUGCUAAUACAAAGCUAUUAAUUAACUGGUAGAAUAAAAUGUAAAAAUAAGUGUUUUUAUCUUUACAUAAAAAGCUGCAUUAAACAUGUGGAGCUUCUUGCUGGACAGGCUUCCUGGGCAAGGUCCUCCUUCUGGCACCUCACACACAACCAAACACUCAUCUGCUCCAUGGAUUUACCAUAUUGCACAAACAAAGGGAAAACAACCUGUUUUUUAUCGAGUUUUGACAAAAAUUCAACGUGGAAGACUCACGUCCACUUCUGGCUCCGUCUAACUACUCCACCACGUUCUUCGCUCCAACCAAUCAGCUCCUGAUCCACAUUCCUCUUCAGCCAAUCAUCCCUCAAGGCUUCACUUUAAAAGACCUUCAUACGCAGAAUCUCCUGCUCGUCAGCUGAGCUUCGACCUUCCUCCACCCC